GCCCCGGUACCCCAACUGGCAGCAGGGAACGGAUUCAAAACCCGUACAGUGUGGGUUCGAAUCCCACCCGGGGCA
rnacentral:tRNA from 1 species